AUACGGAGGGUGCAAGCGUUAAUCGGAAUUACUGGGCGUAAAGCGUACGUAGGCGGUUCGUUAAGUUAGAUGUGAAAGCCCCGGGCUUAACCUGGGAACUGCAUUUAAAACUGGCGGACUCGAGUUGAGUAGAGGGGAGUGGAAUUUCAGGUGUAGCGGUGAAAUGCGUAGAGAUCUGAAGGAACACCAGUGGCGAAGGCGGCUCCCUGGACUCAAACUGACGCUGAGGUACGAAAGCGUGGGUAGCAAACGGGAUUAGAAACCCUAGUAGUCC
rnacentral:rRNA from 1 species